AGUGGCGGACGGGUGAGUAACGCGUAGGAAUCUACCUGAUAGUGGGGGAUAGCCCGAAGAAAUUCGGAUUAAUACCGCAUAAUCUAUUCGUAGUAAAGUGGGGGACUUUCGAGCCUCACGCUAUCAGAUGAGCCUGCGUAAGAUUAGCUAGUUGGUAGGGUAAAAGCCUACCAAGGCUACGAUCUUUAGCUGGUCUGAGAGGAUGAUCAGCCACAUCGGGACUGAGACACGGCCCGAACUCCUACGGGAGGCAGCAGUGGGGAAUAUUGGACAAUGGGGGCAACCCUGAUCCAGCAAUACCGCGUGUGUGAAGAAGGCCUGAGGGUUGUAAAGCACUUUCAAUUGUGAAGAAAAGCUAGUGGUUAAUAGCCAUUAGCCUUGACGUUAACUUUAGAAGAAGCACCGGCUAACUCCGUGCCAGCAGCCGCGGUAAUACGGAGGGUGCAAGCGUUAAUCGGAAUUACUGGGCGUAAAGCGUGCGUAGGCGGUUUAUUAAGUCAGAUGUGAAAGCCCCGGGCUUAACCUGGGAACUGCAUUUGAAACUGGUCAACUAGAGUAUGGUAGAGGAAAGUGGAAUUUCUGGUGUAGCGGUGAAAUGCGUAGAUAUCAGAAGGACAUCAAUGGCGAAGGCAACUUUCUGACAAUUACUGACGCUGAAGUACGAAAGCGUGGGUAGCAAACGGGAUUAGAUACCCCGGUAGGUUU
rnacentral:rRNA from 1 species